CUACGGACUUGAUUGUAUUGAGCCUUGGUAUGGAAACCUGCUAAGUGGCAACUUCCAAAUUCAGAGAAACCCUGGAAUUAAAAAAGGGGCAAUCCUGAGCCAAAUCCAUGUUUUGAGAAAACAAGCGGUUCUCGAACUAGAACCCAAAGGAAAAGGAUAGGUGCAGAGACUCAAUGGAAGCUGUUCUNN
rnacentral:ribozyme from 1 species